rnacentral:miRNA from 1 species
UUGCCCGAGAGCUUGGACCGC